rnacentral:rRNA from 1 species
UACGGGGGGAGCAAGCGUUGUUCGGAUUUACUGGGCGUAAAGGGCGCGUAGGCGGUAGCACAAGUCAGUUGUGAAAUCUCCGGGCUUAACUCGGAAAGGUCAACUGAUACUGUGCGACUAGAGUGCAGAAGGGGCAACUGGAAUUCUCGGUGUAGCGGUGAAAUGCGUAGAUAUCGAGAGGAACACCUGCGGCGAAGGCGGGUUGCUGGGCGACACUGACGCUGAUGCGCGAAAGCCAGGGGAGCGAACGGG